UCAUUUAAAAUUUGAGCUAUGAAAACAAUUUCUUAGUUUUUAAAUUGACUUUUGGAACUUGAAUUUGUAGAAGAAAAUUUUCAAAUUUUACAUAGUUUAGUAGUAUAUACCUGAUAGUCACGUUUAAAAAAGAGCUGUCUAGAAAAGUAUAUAUGUUUUUCCUGUGACAGAUUAUUGUCGUGAACAUUUCAAAUGCAAUAAAGGAACACCACACAAAUUAACUUAAAAAUUUUAUUCAAUAUGUAAUAUGUAUUCUGCAGAGAAACUAGUGACUUUGAUUCAGUUUUGUUUUACUGCAUUAUAAUUAUGGACUUUGGGGUGUUUGCAAUACUAGUUUUAAUCAACAUUGAUUUAAAAAAUAUCUGGAGCCUGGGCAAUGUAGUGAGAUCUCAAUCUCUGCAAAAAAGUUUUUAAAAAAUUAUCCAAAUGUGGCAACUUGUGCCUAUAGUCCCAGCUACUCAGGAGACUGAGGCAGGAGAAUCACUUGAGCCAGGGAGUUUGAGGCUGUAGUGAUAUAAUCAUACUAUUAUAAUUCAGUCUGAGUAAGAAGGCUGGAUGCUUGCCUGCCUUCUGCCUCUUCCAGAACUCAGGACACUCUCAUCCUGAGGUUUUGUGAACACUCUCUCCACCCACUUCCACAGGGUACAUUUUCAAAUGGCCCUUGAAUCCUUGGCACAUCUAUGAUUUGUGACCCAGUCACUCAAGUUUUGUAAUGGACAAUUGUGAAGGUGGGCACCUGAGGUAUACCAGACUUUGAAUAUGGACUCAGGUAGGCUAACUUUUCAAAUUGGGAUUUCAGCAGUUCUGGUGAUGUUUCAGAGAGUGCUCAAUGCAAACCUACUGCUCCCUGGUCUGUGUGGUAAAGCCCAACUUUUUGGUCUGACAGUCUACAUCCUGUGUCGCCUGCCCUGAAUUCACUUUUCAGCCUUUUCACUCAUGGUUCUCCACAUGCCUUGUCGAUGAAAACAUCCUGAUCCAUGGACAGAGGGGCUUUUGUCUCUCAGACUUACACAGCACCUUACUACCGUCUCGUUCUACUGUGUGCUCUUCUUUCCUCUUGCAGUCUUUAUCCCUCCGCUAGGCUUUGUUCUGGAGAACACGGGUUGCAUGUGAGUUAUCUAUGUGCCUCUGUAGUGCCUACCAGGAUUUGGACAUAGUUCAUCCUUAGUAAAGUUUGAUGACUGAAUGCUUGUGUCCUCUUGUAUCCAUCAUCAACUAUUGGUGGUAAGUUAUCAGAACUGGCCUGACGUUUGUAUGAAAUGAUACGUGGUUGGGGUACCAGAUUUAGCAAGCAAAAAUGGAGGGCACCCAGUAAAAUUUGAAUUUCAGAUAAAUAACAAAUAAAUUUUAGUGCAAGUGUGUCCCAAAUGCUGCAUAUGAACAUUUAUUCUAAAAAAUUAUUCACUGUUUUUCUGAAGUUGAAAUUUAAUGGGCACAUUGCAUUUUAUCUCCCCCCUUAGUUUGUGGCCUUGGCUGAAGUGACAUAUAUGGGCUAAUUCUGCUAUCCAAAAAUGUCACCCCACAUUCUGACUAUGUACUUUGGAUUUAUGGUCUUUGAUUAAGAUAAAGAUAAUCUUGGCAGAAGUCAUGCCUGAAGCUUUUUGUUAGCAGAUAACAACUUAACAAAAAAUAGCCAGAAUGGGGGGUGGAGGUGGGUGUCUGUCUUUAUUAGCUCUCUAGUGAAGCUCUGCCCCACACUGAGCACAGUGCUAGUCUCGGGGAGAACGAGGUAGAUAGUUCUUGUCUCACUUGAGGUGAGUGCACCUUCUAGGGCAGUAGUCUUUAUUACAGAACUUUUUUCUUCAGACUGUCCCUUAAAUACUGGCCAGAUAUGCAAUCUGUCCAGGUCCCAAAGCUAGAGGAGGCAGAACCUGGACUCAAAGCAAUAUAACCAUGCUCUCAACUCCACAUUAAGCUCCAUUUCCAGGAUGCUGUCCUUGGCCUCUGCUAUGGGCUGAAUUUUGCCACCUACUCCCAACCAAAAUUUUGAUGUUGAAGUGCUAAUCCCUAGUACCUCACAAUGUGACCAUAUUUGGAGAUAAGUUCUUUAAACAGGUGAUUAAUUAAAAAUGGCCAUUAGGGUGGGGACCUAUCCUGUAGAAUUGGUGUCCUCAUGAGAAGAGGAAGAGACCCCAGGGUAUGUGCACACUGAGGAAAGACCAUGUGAGGACACAGGGAAAAGGCAGCCAUCGGGCAGCCAAUAUGAGGCCUCAGGAGAAACCAAACCUGUGGCAUCUUGAUCUUGGAUUUCUAGCCUCCAGAACUGUGAGGAAGUACAUUUCUGUUGUUUCAGCCCCCAGUCUGUGGUACAGCAGGUACAGCAGCCCUAACUGACUAAGGCAUCCUUCCCCUCCCUCAUCUAGACCUCUUUUUGUUCACCUGCUGCUCCUCCUGAAUCCCCCACCUUUGUUGAUACGAGCCCCUUAAACAUAGUUGUCCUUUCCCCAAACUAGGAAAUCAGCCAAGAGUCCUGCCCUUCUCUUCCCUACAACCCCAACAGUAAGCCCUGUCCCUCCCAGAGACAUCAGUCAAAUCCUUGUCUCCCUGUUCAUCCCUAUUAUAUCACCUAUGAUUUGGAACACUGUUAUCUUUACCUGGAAAAAGACUCCCAAUCAGUGUUUGCAAUGUAGAUAUUGGAGGGCAGUGGGUUUGUCAAUCAUACUUUGAUGGCACAAAGUCUAUACCACCAUCUAAAAGAUAGUCCUGCCCAUUUAUUCCUUUGUUCAAAUUUCCUCACAAUAAAAUCUAACUUUGAUACACUCAUUGCAGAACACCAACACCUUCAUGAUCUGACUCUGCUCCCACCUCACAUGGGUCCUGCCUCACAUGGCCCUCACCUGACACUCCCUCUCCUCCCAGCACUGAGCCCCCUUCCCCACUGUCAGGUUCCCUGAGUUUGUCAGCUGCCUAUACUUUCUUACAUGCUGUCCUCCAUUCUGAAAUCGCCUCUUUCUUUGCCCAUUUGCUCAUUUGAGAUCCAACCAGAGUUUGAGUCCUUAGUGUGAGGACUUUGUCCUUCCCUUUGAUUAUUCUCACCACUUAGUUUGCAAUAAGUGCCUCAAGAAUUUUGAGGAGUAAAUAAAGGAAUGUGUCCCAAAGGCUUUAGCUCAGUGCCUCUCUAAAGGCAGCAGUUUUGCCCCCAGGGAACAUGUUCAGUGUCUGGAGACAUAUUUUAGGAGGAGUGCACAUAUCUGAUGGGUCGAGGCCAAGGAUGCUGCUAAACAUCCUCCAAUACACAGGACAACAAUGAAUGGUCCAAGUCAAAAGGCCAAGAGUGCCAAGUUUGAGAAACUCUGUCUUAGCUCUAGUCUUUACGUAAAUCAUCCUCAAGCCAAGCUCUCUGCUCCCUCAACUCUGCUUGUGCCUAUAUUGGACCUCUCAGGAAAUUCCUCUUUUUCCUUUUCCAUAUCGUUUAUUAGAUUGUGCUCCUUGAGGUCAGGAACCAUGAAUCACUCAGUCCUGUAUCUUCAUUGUCUGCACUGUGGCUUAGUAAGUAAUAGUUUAGUAGAAGAAUGGAUAGAGAAAGAAAGGAAUGGCAGAAGAAGCUUAUGGAAUAGUUCACCUCUUUAUGUUUUAAACUUAGGUCAGCUCUGGAUCUAUCUCUGUAUCUUGUAGUUCUAGUUAGAAACAAGGAGAGGGGCCAAGAGGUGAGUAUGUGCAAAACCUAUCGGCCAGGAUACUAGUUUCCAACAGAUGCUACACAACUGGCAUGCAUGUUCAUUUUUUUACUCAUUUCUACUCAAUAAUGACCAGAGUUUAUAUAGAAGGUGGAAAGAAUAAUCAUGUAAAGCACAUUUGUACAAUUAAAGAUGCUGCAAUUAUGAAAAUGUUCUUUAUCAGUGCUAUUCAAUACCAUAGCCCUGGCCACACAUGGCUGUGGAGCACUUGAGUGUGGCCCAUGCCCCUGAAGAGCUCAGUUUUUAAUUUUAUUCAUAUUAAUUGUUAUUAUCUUACAUGGCCAUGUGUAGUCAAUGGUUACCUUAAUGGGCAAUGCACAGCUGAAGUCUGUUUUCAGGCUGACCCUCUACACACCAUAGUCUUGGGAGUAUUUUAUUAAACUUCCUAUAGUUUAUUUUGGCCAGAGGAAGAUAACGCAAAGGUUUAAAAGAAAAUACAGUGGAGAAAUGGCCCAUCUUUCCACGAAACCCUAAGGUUCUGAGUCACAUCAUAAGUAAAUGGUGGAAGGAAGGCAGGUUUAGCUGGGCAGUCAUCGGAAAUCAUGAUGGCAAACCAGAUACCACACCCUCUGGCACUCCCCAAACUCAUUGCCCAUGGGACCGAAGUUAGUCCAAGUGCCAACUCGUGCCACACCAAUGCCUUGUAAGGACUCUUAAAUCCUAUCUGACCUUUGAACAGGUUCAGUGUGCUAUGUUCAAAUGGGAAGGAAUACAAAAUAAUUCUAGAAGAGAUCCAACCUGUUGAUAAAUUAAAGGUCCUAAAGAAGGGAAAAGAACAUCUGUCUGGAAUUUACUUUAAGGGGAUGUGAUUUUUGGGGGUAAGAUUAUCAUUAGGUUAUAAAGUAAAAUCCUGUACCUCAACUGGUAAAUAUUUCCUAAAUGCCUGUUGCUUGGAUCUUAGUAUCUAUAGAUACUGGGGGCAUACUUAAGAGUACUUUUAGAUGUAACCUCCAAAUUCCAUGGAGCUCAGUCUUUUAUAUGAAACAUAAUUUUUAAAAAAUGAUUGUUUUUAUUACUAUGUCACUUCUCUCUAAUGCUUUUGACAAAAUAUCCUGUGAUACUUGAUUGAUGUUUAUUCCAUUACUUGUUAUCUAAUUGUGGUAUAACAUCUCACUCUCUGUAAUAAGACAGAUUUAGGUGGAAAUGAGAUAAAUGCAUGUUCUCACUUUGACACUGUAAAGAAAGCCCUAAAAGAGCAUUUAAGAUAUUUAAUACCAAUAUUCCCUAUUCUGUUAAUGUUUUAAUAUUAAAAUUAGGUUACUUAAGGAAUGACUUUCCACGAUUAAUAUAUUAAUACUGUCCUACUAAAUACCCCUAUAAUAUAAAAUGUAAUAUAAAUACCUAUAACAUGAAAUAUUAAGUAUACUUGUAGUAUAAAGACCCUUUUGCUUAUAACUAUACCAUUCUUCUUCCAUUGGAAUUCCCCGUAGCUUUUCUCAGGGUGGCAGUAAGAUCAGAUUAGAAGUGUGAGUAAAAUAUUAUUACAAUCAAUUAAAGCAUUAGGCUCAUAAAUUGAUCAAUAAUUUUUCAAGAACAUCAUAGGUCAUGAUUUCUUUUCAUUUUGUUGAAGAAAAAUGUGAUAGCUAAGAUGAAAAGACAUGUUUAUUUUUGUGUCAGGUAUUCUGUGAUUAGUUAAUUAAAUAUUUUCAUCAGUUCCAGUGACCUCUUGUCUCUCAGCUGCAUAUUGACUUUCCCAACUGUGCCUUCCAUCCUUCUGGCUGCAGUAAGAGAAACCAGAUUUUCCUCAGCCACCUCCAGGAUCUUUCUUAUCUAACGCAGGAGAGCCUUCUGCCAGGGGGAUUGGCAAAGAAUAAACCCAAAGGUCUCCAUUUUUGUAAAAAGGUUCAUGGCAGGUCAGUUAUAUUUCAGUAUAUUUUUAAAAGGCGUGGUUGAGCUAAUUUAAUUUAUUCUGUUCAUUAAUUUCUCUUUUUUCACCUCCACCCCCUCUGAAUAAACGGCCUUCACAUGAGUCCAGUAUAGCUUCAAUACACCUUAUUCACAUGCCUUUUAUUGCAGCCGCAUUCCAGCCAGCUGGAGGUGGCCCGACUGCCUCAGCUUUCCCGUUUUAGCUCUGGAAAUGAUUUCAGCAUGGCAAAAACUUUUCACUGGCCAAUUUGGAAAACAGGAUUCAAUUUGUGAAGAAAGCUCAAAAUGGCAACUUAGAAUGAAAAAGAGGAUGGAGAAGGUUGAAGCAGGGAAAGAGCCACAGGGUGCAGUGGCUCACACCUGUAAUACCAGCACAUUGGAAGGCUGAAUCAGGUAGAUCACCUGACAUCAGGAGUUUGAGACCAGCCUGGCCAACAUGGUGAAACCCUGUCUCUAUUAAAAAUACAAAAAUUAGCUGGGCAGGAUGGCAGGCGCCUGUAAUCUCAGCUACUCAGGAUGCUGAGGCAAGAGAUUUGCUUGAACCAGGGAGGCAGCAGUGAGCUGAGAUUGUGCCACUGCACUCCAGCUUGGGCGAAGGACCAAGACUCCAUCUCAAAAAAAAAAAAGCUUAAUUAAAAGUGGAUUUAUGGUGGGCUUUGGUAACAGAUUUGUUACCAAAAUGCACUACAGACAGGCAGAUUCCAGAUUCCCAAGGCUGAUUGAUUUCAAGUCUAGGGAGGACAUAUUUCUAGGUAAAAGUUGUAUGUGUCUUACAGCUUUCUCUUUGGAUAUAUAUUUGAGUCUCCCCCAAGAGAAAAGCAAUGUCAUAUUUAAGUAUGAACUUACUUUAAUGAUAGGUGCUACUUAUAUCUCUACUAUGUUGUUUCUGUUAUAUGUGAUUUUUGUAUCAUUUAUAGUUUUUUUCUUAAGAGAACACUGAAUUUUCAAUAAUUUCAAAAGCCUGUGACACCUUCAGAAGUUAAGCAUGGAUCCUAACAAUGUAUAUGCUUAGCCGUAUCAUUAAGGCAUAACUACUGAAUGUUUACAGUCCAUGGGAUUUGUGGAAUUCUGUGGCCUCCUUGACCAUUUCAGCAUCUGGAAGAGGUGUUAAUGUUGUCAUCUGACCUCAGCCCUGGAUCCUCAUCUGUCUUCUAGCCCAGUGAUUCUCAAACUUCUAGUGUGCAUAGGAAUGACCUGGUAAUCUUGUUAAAACACUGAUCUUGAUCUCCACUCCCAGAGUUCUCAUUUAGUUGGUCUGAGUGGGAUCCAUGAAUUUGCUUUUUUAACAAGUUCCCUGGAGAUACUGAUGCUGCUACUCUUGCUCCCACAUUUUUAGAAUGCCUGUCCUAGUGGUUCAUCCUCAUCUUGACCCAACACUAAGAAAGUGGUAACCAAGUUUUAAAAAUUAGCCUCUCUGGUUAAAUUGGGAAAUCAAAUAAAUACUAAGUGACAGUUUAUUUUAAAUAACUUGAAAAUUUUCUUAUCCACCAGAAUUGCCCCUAACAGUUUCCCAAAUUAGCAUAAUCGAUUCUAGAAGUUCAGGGAUAAUUUGGAAUAUGAAUGGGCUGGGCCUUUGUACUGACAAAGCCAUUCGCAGCACCAGUUUGUUUAAUAUCCCAGGACAUUAAACUCCUCUGCUUUGGCUAUUAGAGGAAUAGUAGGUUGGAUCUGUGACAGCACAGUAUGCCCAUUUAGAUAUAAAUUUAUUUCUCAAUCCUUCUGAAGACAGCAGUAGUGAGGAUUUGAUUUGAUAUAAUGACACUGAAAAUAGAGAGGAAAGGAUGAGUGAAAACAACGUGUGUAAAUGGAAACCAUGUGGUUUAACUGAUACCUGUGGGUAAGAGGCACAGGAAAGGAAAGAAUCAAAGGUGACUGUACAUAUCAGGUAAGGAGAAUAGAUGGCAAUACCAUUAAAAGUGAGGAGUUGGCUUUGUGAAAGAAAGUAAGGUUGAUUUUUUAAAAAUAUAAGCCCAUACAUUUGUAACUGGUUGAUUUUCAGCAAGGGCACCAAGACAAAUCAGUGGGGAAAGAACAUCACAAAAAUAAACUCAAAAUGGAUCCUAGCUGGAAAUGUAAAAUUGCUAAAAUUGCUAAAAAUGCUAAAAUUGAGGCAUCAACUGUUCACAUUGACAUAGCUGGGGUAAAAAAUGAUAACACUUUCUUUUUGAAAACACAAUUGAACCUAAAUCUACCCUGUUAAAUUGGCGUCUGUUAUUUUUAAGUAAUUCAUAUGAAGUGUUAAAAGCUUAAUUAAAAGUGGAAUUUAUUGUGGGCUUUGGUAAAAGGUAUGUUAUAGGCAGAUUCCAGAUUUCCAAGGCUGAUUGAUUGAAAACACAGGUGAGAGAUACUCUUCCUGAACUUUAGUUAGGCAUAGCUUUCUUAGAUAUAACACCUAAAACACCAGCAACAAAAGAAAAAAAUAGAUAAAAUAGACUCCAUCAAAGUUAAAGACUGUUUUCAUAGGAUACCAUCAGAAAAGUGAAAAAGCAACCUACCAAAUGGGAGAGAACAUUUGCAAGUCAUAUAUCUGAUGAGGGGCCAGUAUCCAAAAUAGAUAAAGAACUCUUAUAACUCAAGAAUUAGAAGACAAAUAACCUAAUUGAAAAUAGGCAAAGGACUUGAAUAGACAUUUCUCCAAAGAAAACAUUCAGCUGACACAAAAGGAUAUGAAUGUGAAAAGAUGUACAGCAUUAUUAGUCAUUAAGGAAAUGCCACUCACAACCACAGGGAAAGACUACUUCACACCCGCUGGCCUGGCUGUAAUAAAAAAAGACCAUAACAAGUAUUGGUGAGGGUAUGGAGAAAUUGGAACUCUCAUACAUUGAUAAUGUAAGACCACUUAGCCACUUUGUAAAGCAGUUAGACCAUUUCUCAGGGUUCAGUAUAGGCACAUAUUUAAGAGAAAUGAAAACAUGUCCACAUGAAAACUUAUACAGGAAUCUUAGUAGCACCAUUAUUCACCAUAGCCAAACAGUGGAACUUUUGGUGGAGUAAUGUCCAUUAAUUUAUAAAUGGAUAAAUAAAGUGUGAUUCAUCAAACUGUGUCAUAUUAUUCAACCAUAAAAAGGAGGUACUAAUGGAUGCUCCAACAUGGAUGAACCUGGAAAACAUUAUGCUAAGUCAAAGAAGAUAGACCCAAAAGGCAGCAUAUUAUAUGAUUCCAUUUAUAUGAAAUGUCCAGAAUAUGGAAAUCCAUAGACACUGAAAGUACCUGGUAGUUGCCACGGGCUAGGUACCAGAAGUGGGGAAUGUCUGCUAAUGGGUCCAAAGUUUCUUUUUGGGUAAUGAAGUAUUCUAAACUUAGGUUGUGGUAAUGGUUGCGUAACUCCCUGAGCAUACUAAAAUCAACUUAGUUGUAUGUGAAUUAUAUAUCAAUGAAGAUUUUUUAUAGUAGUAAAAAAUCUUAAGAAACCAAGAAUAAAUGCCAAGGUAAAGUCCAGUGGAUGUUUGGAACUUGGGAGACAGGUCUGUGCCAGAGGGAAAUGUGAAGCUCCUUGCAUAGAAGAAUAGGUGUGCCAUGGAAGUGAAUCAGGUGUCCAGGGAGAAUAUGGAGGGAGAGCAUAAAGUUGUUGGAAUACCGAACCUGGGAGCACAGCUCUUUUUUUAAGGACCCAGAAGAAGUUAGGAGAAUGAUCUGAGAUAAGGAAGAAACCAGGAUGGCACAGACUAAUGAAAGUGAAGGAAGAGAGACAGGUUUACAGAAUAGGCAGUCACAAAGGGAAAUGUCAUGGAAGGACCCAACAUGCCACUGAGUUUGAUGUUUGGGAGUUAGUUGUUUUUCCAUAUAGAUGCAGUGCAGGUGGAAGCCACAUAAAAAGUUUUAAUCAGUGAAUGGAAGAUGAAUGAAGGCUUAAGGAAAGAAGCAUAUCAGCCCUCUCUUUUUGCAGGUUCUGCAUCCAUGGAUUCUACAGUACAAAAUAACAAUACAGCAAAAAACAAAAAAAAAUUUUUAAAUACCAUGUGCAGUGGUUCACACCUAUAAUCCCAGCCCUCCUUUGGGAGGCCAAGGUGGGAGUGCCCAAGGCCAUGGGAGCUCAUCUCUUGCGUCAGUGUGACCUGGAUGGGAGACAUGGAGUCAAAGGAGAUUAUUUUGGAACUUUAAGGUUUAAUGACUGCCCAGCUGGAUUUCAGACUUGCAUGGGUCCUGUAGCCCCUUUGUUUUGGCCAAUUUCUCCCAUUAAUGGGAACAUUUACCCACUACCUGUACUCUCAUUGUAUCUUGGCAGUAACUAACUUGCUUUUGAUUUUACAGGCUCCUACCUAGGUGGAAGAGACUUGCCUUGUCUCUUAUGAGACUUUGGACUUGGACUUUUGGGUUAAUGCUAGAAUGAAUUAAGACUUUGGGGUACUGUUGGGAAGGCAUGAUUGAUUUUGAAAUGUAAAAGGGACAUGAGAUUUGGGAGGGGCCAGUGGAAGAAUGACAUGGUUAGGCUUAUGUCCUCACCCAAAUCUCAUCUUGAAUUAUAAUCCCCAUAAUCCCUAUGUACCAGGGAGAGACCAGGUGGAGAUAGUUGGAUCAUGGGGGUGGUUUUCCCCAUGGUGUUCUUGUGAUAGUGAGUUCUCAUGAGAUCUGAUGGUUUUAUAAGUGUUUGGUCAUUCCUACAGCAUUCUCCUUCCUGCCGCCUUCUGAAGAAGGUGUCUUGUUUCCCUUUCACCUUCCACCAUGAUUGCAAGUUUCCUGAGGCCUCCCCAGCAUUGCUGAACUGUGACUCGAUUAAACCUCUUUCCUUUAUAAAUUACCCAGUCUCAGUAAUUAUAGCAGUGUGAAAAUGUACUAAUGUGGGAAGAUAGCUUGAGCCCAGGAGUUUGAGACCAGCCUGGGCAACACAGCAAGACCCCCAUUUCUUAAAAAAAAAAAAAAGCCCAGAAUGGUGGCACAUGUCUGUAGUCCCAGCUACUUGGCAGGCUGAGGUGAGAGGCUCAUUUUAGCCCAGGCAGUCAGAAAGGCUGCGGACAGCCAUGAUUGUACCAUUGCACUCCAGGCUAGGCCACAGAGCCUCUGUCUCAAAAGAAAAACAACAAAAAACUAAAAACUGAAAAUAAGUGCAACUAUUUACAAAAUAUCUACAUUGUAUUAUGUAUUUUGAGUCAUCUAGAGAUGAUUUAAAGUAUAUAGGAGAAUACAUGUAGGUUAUAUGCAAAUACUCUGCCACUUGACAUAAGGGACUUGAGCAUUCUUAGAUUUUUAUAUCUCCAGGAGAUCCUGGAACCAAUCCUCUGUAAAGACUGAGGGACACCUGUACGGAGUAGUUCUUAAGGAAUUUGGGAGGAAAAAGAAAGAAUAACUUGCUGACGGUUGAAGAAAGGUUUUGUUCUUGCUAAUGCCAAUGACAUUGUUUAGAAGGGCAAAUCUUAAGAUUUAAAGGCAGAAGGAAAGGAACCAGUAGAGAAUGAUAAUUGAUAGAUAAUGAAGGCAUAGCAGAAGAAAAUUCAUAACGGAAUGAAACUCUGGAUCCAGGUAUUAUAAACAUGUGGUGCCUCAUUCUCACCCUCACAGCGCCUUCUUCCUGUUUUGGAGGUAGCUGAACAUUAUAGUGUAAAUUUGGGUUUUUACUUAAUGAAAAAUAUACCUAGAAACACUGAUAACUUGUAAUUUUGUAAAGUGUUUCCAAAUCUGUGGCCUUCUAACACCUGGAGUAUUUGUAAGAUGCCCUCAGAGUACCCUGAGCUCAGAAUCCAGCACUGCCUCUUACCAGCUUUGGCAAAAUUUUGUAAACCUCUCCAAGUAUGUGUUGUCAUCUCUAAAAUGGUAAUGAUACCCACCUUCAAGGUUUUUGUUAAGAUUAUCGAAAAGGUAUUCUUGAAUAAUAUAUAUAGCUGCUAAAUGGCAAAGAACAGGGCCCUACAGUAGACUUUUCUGGGUUUGAAUCCAAGGCAAGUUGCUUACUCUCUCUGCAUGUCUGUUGUGCAUGUGCAUGUCUGCACAUCUGUGAAGUGGAUCUGAUAAAAGUACUUAUGUGGUGGUGUGAAUAAAUGAAAUACAUCUGUGUAAGUGCAGAGCCUGGCACAUCUGUAAGUUUGCUCAGCCACUGAAAGAAGUAGCAGCAGCAGUUGCUGCCACUUUUACUACUACUCAGAAUUAAAAUGCUAAAUGCAAAUAAGAAAAAAAAAUCUGCAAUUGUUAAUGAGCUCUAACCAAUAAGAAUGAGCUCAGCUAAUUUAAUUAUUUUUCGAAUUAAAGCCUGGAGCUGCUGGGAUAAAGUUUAAUAUUGCUAAAAGAGUCAAAUCUAAUCCUUGUUAUGAUAACCAGACAUUAUCACUUCUGACAUGGAAACUUCAGUGUUUAUUCCUGAGUCACUGGUGUUGAUAAAUCUAAUAAGAUAAAUACUGUUUUUGUUCUUGAUUUUAAAAAAUCAGUAUAAUUGAUUAAAAUGAAAUAAGUAAAGUGGUCAUUGUUCCUUACAGAACUGCUGAGUAAGGUGUACUAACUGUCUAUUUUUUAUUGAGAAUGAUGUUAGUAAUUCUAAUAGUCUAUUUUUUAUUGAGAAUGCUAUUAAUAAAGUAACUUAGAUUUAUAGGCCUCUGUAAAUGAAAUGUCUUAAUAAUAUAAAAUCUACUUGCCUUCACAACAACAGGGUCUCUGAUUUAUGCUUUAUUUCUAUCUAUGAUAUGUGAUGUUUUUUGAUUUAUCACAGAAUAAUAUUUGUGCCAUUUCUGAUCGUUAUCAUUUUUUAUUGAUAUUUAGUUGUUACAGUAAAAUUCCAACAGAAUUACACAACUGAGAAAGAAUGAUUUGAUAGGUUCUAAAAGUAUAUACCCUAAUGGAUUUCUAAUGGAGAUUGAACUUGAUGGCAGUAUGCUAAGUUCUUGAAGUUGGAAAUUAAUGUUCUAUUUUAAGGGGACAUUCUUGGCAUUGCUUUUACCUUUUGGGAGGAGGGGAGGAGGAAAAUCAUAACUUCUUCUUUUCUCAGACAAAUGACCAAGUAGGAAAUUUUUUAUGAAAUACAGAAACAUUCAGAUUGAACAGCAUGCUGUGAUUCCCGGCUCAGUUACUUUACUUUACCCUGCCCUUCACAUUUCUACAGACAGCAGUAAUCAGAGCGGUCUGGGAACCACUUUGUCUGUGUCCCUGCGGCCUAGUGAGUUCAGAAAACUCCUUUGUUUUGAGUUGUAGAACAAGAGGAAAGGGUAGAAUUGGCCCCUCUGCAUGCAGCUGGAUGCAUCAUGGUAUCCCAGGCCAGCCUGCCACUGCAGUAGUUUAAACAAGGUUGUGGUCUUCACUCUCCAUACCAGAGAAGGAGUGAUGUCCCAUAGAGAAUAGCAAGUAGAUGGUAACAUCAGACACUUAAACGUGGGAAGUGGGCAGCCCACAGACUCACAACGUGGACUCUGCCCUCUGAUACCUAGGGAACUUCGGAGACCAAGGAACAGUCACAACAUUGCCACGUCAUUUUCCAUCGUGAUAUUCAUGAACGAAAGCGUACUGUCUUAACACUAUGAAAACACUCUUCAUUCUUCUGACUCUGUAGUCUCCAGCUAAUGUCAGUUUAGAUAUAUCUCUCCCAUGGUUUCUCCUACUCUUCCUUGGUAUAACAAAGUGAAAUAAAGUUCAGAUUAAACAUUUCACUUCUUUACUGGGAUUUGCAGCACAUUAAUUUGAUAUAUGAUAAAGAUAAACAAGCAGAACCAGAGAGUGAGGGGGAGAAUCCACUUAUUCUAAGAUAGCUUUUCUAUUUCAACUUCAAAAUGAGAAAUAAUUAUAUUUAUCUCUGUAACAUGGAGAUAACUAGGCUGUAAAUUAAUUUCCAUCCAGGCUUUUCUAAUAAAUUACACAGUUUUACUCUUUUCCAGAAUCAGAAGUCCAAAAUGGCAUCUCUGGGUCAAGUGCUCUAAGCCUUCUGACCUUAUUUCUCUAUAACAAGGGCUUUAUCCCCUUAAAUUCAUAAAUUACUUAAAACAUCCUUUUAACAUCUCAGAGGAGAGGUGCCGGAUUGCUUAAAUAUAUCCUGUUUUAUCAGAGUGCUGCAUUCAUUUUUCACUCAGUUCAAUGUAGUUUCUUCCUUUAGUUAAAUCAGCAUUUCAAAAUUUAACAUUGAGUUAGGGAGUGUAUAGAUAAAUGAUAGAACUUUGUGACUGAAAUAGAUAAAUCUUGGGCCACUGCCAGUAGAUAAAUAAUGUACAUUCGAGCAUUUUAGAAGUGAUCAGCUAUGAGGUCGAGCAGCUCAGGGCACCGUAGCCUAAUGUACUUUUUAAUGAGUAAAUCAUUGCUAACUGGUGUGUUCAUAAUUUAACUCCUUUUUAAAUAUAUUGCCCAUGGGUUAUGCCCCUAAAAAGCAAGUGAGGUACCCUAAGGGCCAGAAGGGGACUCAGAACAUUUAUAAAUGAGCAUGACACUAAUGUGAACCAAUGGAUUAUUUGCAUUCCACUGCUUCAGUUAUCACUUAAUGGCUGCAGGCUCUGAUGGCAGGCUUGUGGACUGUGUUAUGUUAGCCUCAAAAAUAAAUGCUAAUAUCUGUGAAGUUUUCACAUUCCCCACCAUAUUUGGUCAAUUGUACAAGCUUCGCCCCUUAAGAGCUGCCAAGAGUCUUGUUGGCAAAAAUGCCACUUUGGUGAAGACAUAACUGACCACCAGUCCUAUUUGUAGACUUUCCCUGGUUGACACUACAUCAUUUCCUCCUCUUAGAACUCUGGGAUUUGUGCUUUUUAUUGAGUGUGAUCAUUUGAGUUAAAUAUAAAUUGCCCUCUUAUAUCAUGUUUUCCUUUGUUGGCAGUGUUUUGGUCUUUAGAUAAUUCUCCCAAGGGAAGUUCUCAACUGUAUAAGCUUAAUGAAUGGUUGUAUUGAUCUGCUUUUCACAUAGAUAUUUGAUUGGGUACUUGGGACCAUUUGGUAGAAAAAGUAAGAUAUAUAGUGUGGAAGGAAAUGACUGAGUAGUUCAGGUUCCUAUAUGUGGUUUACUUCAUGGCUUCUUUUCCUUAAAUAGUGGCUCUCACUCUAAUCGUAAUUACGGUAAAUCAAAACCUUUACUAGUUGAAAAUUGUAUAAUAAAUAUUAUGCAGGUGGCCAUUUUCUAUCCAUCUAUUCUAAAUGAACUAGGAUUAAAACUAGAUAGUAAAUUUUCUAAUGAUUGGGAAAUAUUUAGUUUUGAUUAAAUAAAUAUGUAAUAAUGUGAGCUUAUGCCCUUUAUUUGAUUAACAUUGAAACAAAGUAUAUGGGUCAAAAUUCCUUUUUGGUGUAUUUAAAUUAAUGUUAAAAUUUGUAUAUUCAUGUUUUAGUGAUAAUGCUUUUUUAUUGCUUUGCUCAGUAUACAAAAUAAUUUGUACAUUUUUAAGUAGGAGGAAAUACCUCUCGUUAGGUACUAGGGGAGCUGACCUGUAGUGCUGUAUCUGCUCCUUGAAUAUGUAUGUGUGUGAAAAUUGAAGACUUACCUAAAUUUUUUUCAGCCAAACAGGGUUUUAGAGUGAGCUCAUAUAUCUGAGAGUACUUGUAGCUUUUAAAAUCUAAGAUUUUAUAAUAUAUGUGGAAAGUUCUUUUUAUUAUUCAAAUUGUCUUUAAGGUAUUAAAUUUGUUUAAUUUUUUAUUACCAACUUUAAAAAAUCCAUUAAUCAAUGCAUAAAAAAGAUCAAUGGACAAUUGUGAUUUCCAUAAAAUUAUUAUUAUUUUUUUUUGAGACAGAAUCUUGCUCUGUCAUCUGGCUGGAAUAUAAUGGUGCUAUCUCAGCUCACUGCAAUCUCCACCUUAUGGGUUCAAGUGAUUCUCCUGCCUCAGCCUCCCGAGUAGCUGGGACUACAGAUGAGCGCCAUAACCACCCAGCUAAUUUUUGUAUUUUUAUAGAGAUGGGGUUUCACCUUGUGGGCCAGAAUGGUCUUGAUUUGUUGACCUCAUGAUCUACCCACCUCAGCCUUCCAAAUUGCUAUGAUUGCCACUAUACCUGGCCCAUAAAAUUAUAUAUUUAAAGAAAUAGAGUCCUACAUAUAUAUUUAUUUUUAAUGUCACAAACUGUGUAUAUGCAAAAAGAGUAAUCCUGUUCUCUAGGAAAUGGCUCAUGCAAGUACUGCCAGUGUAGCUACCAUGCUAAUUAGAAUAAAUACACGGUUUAUUCCAAUCCCCACAACAAUCUCUCAUGAUAGAUAUUUGUUUUGUUUUACCAAUGGAAAAAUCUGGAAGUAAGCCUAAAAGGUAUAAAGACCAGGGAAUUCUGAACUUGAAUAACCCAUGAGUUUUCUAUUAUGUUGCCUUAUCCUUAAAAAUCCAUUAGAUAAUGACCUCAAGGGAAUAUGACAUACAAUUUAAAUAUCCUGUCUGUGGCUACAUUAGUUCUUAAUAAAUAAUCAGCAGUAAUAAUUGUGUUUGGAUCCUCUUGCUCACUGACCCUUUGCUAGAUACUGCUUACAGUGUUGAGCUUCUUAAGAUUGGGUUUUAGAAUUCUUUUUUCUCCCUAUAUAAAGUCCUUCAUUUAAUUAUUCCUCACUCCUUUCUUUUUAAUUGAUUCUGUGUCAUGAUCACUCUAAUUGCAAAAUAUGGAAUCUUAUGAUUAACUUGUCAUACUAUUCUAAGAGCACCUCUGAUUACACUUUGGUUUAUUUCAUUCUAGCCAUUUAUUCAUAUUUGAGUGUAUACAGAUGUACUUAUGUACACACAUAUGCAUAUCCUUAUUUAUGCUCAACUAAACUGGGAAUUUUAACCAAUAUUUGCAUUUUGAAGCAAUAUUAUAUCUCCAUUUUAAAAAGCCAAUUAAAUACCUCUUUGAUGCAAUACACUGAGAGUGCUGUACAUCAGUUUUCUCUGCCUCCAGCUCUGAGAGACCAAGGGCCAUGAAGAAUUCUCAGACCCCUGAUGCCUGCUAAAUAUGCUUAAUUUAGACAGCAUAAACUGUAUGUUCCCAUUUGAAAAUACUACACCACGUUUUUAAGCCCAUAGCUUCCUUAGUUGAUUUAGAAAAGAAGUUCUAAAAAUAAAAUACUCAGCAUAAAUAAACCUACUUAUAUGUGUAUCUUUUAAAAAUCACUUAUAUUAUCUUUUGUGGACCAAGAAUUGGUGACAUAGGACCUUAUCUUGGAAAAAGCUCUGUAAUUUUUACUGUAGCUUUCAGGACUUUGAAUCUUACUGCCGUCUGUGGUUCUGGAAGGUUUUGUCUGCCUCUUUCUACUGGUAAUUCUCACCAGAUCUCUCGCUGACUGUUGGUCAUCUUGCCAAAUCUUGAGUGAUGUCUUUUGCUUCAUCCCGCUGUGCAUCUUGCAGGAAAGCAGAUGCUGUUGGUCAUUUGAGUAAUCUGAAUCCUGUUAUUUCCAGUAAAGUCAGUUGGAUUUCUGGGAUGAGAAUUGGAGCAGUCCUGUUGAAAAACUGGAAUGAGAGAUGAGAAGUUUGCUGAAAACAGAACAUUUUUGUGUGUGUGGAUUGAUUUGCCUCAUAUACCAAUUUUGUACUUCAGUCACAUCUUUGCUGUUUAAAAUAGAACACAUUAUUUACUCAGAUUCAAUUAUUUUGACUACAUUAGUAAUGUCAUUACAAGGCUAUGUGACAGAUUUAUAGUGACAUGCUGUAGGCACUUCAAAAUCUCUUAAACCUGUAUUCAGCCUCUUUUUUCCUAGAAACUAAGUGAUCUCAAUUUUCAGUUUUUCAUUCUCUGUAAUCUUCUAACAAUUUUGUUUUUCAGAGGGGGGCGGGGGUCUUGGUAAGUUAGAUUUCUCAAGACAAGGACUUGGCUACAAAUGGGUUAAAAUAUAGUGUGAAAUAUAGUUUCUCCUGUUUUGUUUUAUAUGCUUAUUUAUUUCAUGUUCUCAAUAUAUAUUUCAAGUUCAUUUUCUGAAUCAGUUCUAUUUCUUCAGGAAAAGGCUGCUUUUCUAAUUGUGUUUGGUCAUGUUUUAAAAAUGUAUUUAUUUUACUUUAGGUGCAUACUUUAUCUGGCAUUUCUCCCCAUGUUAUCCCUCCCCACCCCCUGCUGUCUCUUUCCUACCCCCCGAACUGCCCCCAGUGUGUGAUGCUCCUCUCCCUGAGUCCACAUGUUCUCGUUGUUCAAUACCCACCUAUAAGUGAGAACAUAAGGUAUUUGGCUUUCUGCUCUUGUAUCAGUUUGCUGAGAAUGAUGGUUUCCAGAUUCAUCCAAAUCUCUACAAAGGACAUGAACUCCUUGUUUUUUUCUGACUGCAUAGUAUUCCAUGGUGUAUAUGUACCACAUUUUCUUUGUCCAAUCUAUCAUUGUUGGGCAUUUGGGUUGGUUCCAGGUCUUUGCUAUUGUAUGCAGGGCUGCAAUGAACAUACACAUGCAUGUGUCUUUAUAGUAGAACAAUUGAUAGUUCUUUGAGUAUAUACCCAGUAAUGGGAUUGCUGGGUCAAAUGUAAUUUCUAUUUCUAGAACCUUGAGAAGUCACCACACUGUCUUCCACAAUGGUUGAACUAAUUUACACUCCCACGAGCUGUGUAAAAGUGUUCCUAUUUCUCCAUAACCUCUCCAGCAUCCAUUGUCUCCAGAUUUUUUAAUGAUCGCCAUUCUAACUGGCUUGAGAUGAUAUCUCAGUGUGGUUUUGAUUUGCAUUUCUCUAAUGACCAGUGAUGAUGAGCAUUUUUUCAUAUGUUUGUUGGCCUCUUGUAUGUCUUCUUUUGAAAAGCAUCUGUUCGUAUCCUUUGCCCACUUUUGAAUGGGGUUGUUUCUUUUUUUCUUGUAAAUCUGUUUUAGUUCUUUGUAGAUUCUGGAUAUCAGCCCUUUGUCAGAUGGGUAGAUUGCAAAAAUUUUUUCCCACCCUGUUGGUUGCCGAUUCGCUCUAAUGAUGUUUCUUUUGCUGUGCAGAAUCUCUGGGAUUUAAUUAGAUCCCAUUUGUCUAUCUUGGCUUUUGUUGCCAUUGCUUUUUGUAUUUGAGUCAUGAAGUUCUUGCCUAUGCCUAUGUCCUGGAUAGUUUUGCCUACAUUUUCUUGUAGUGUUUUUAUGGUGUUAGGUUUUAUGUUUAAAUCUUUGAUCCAUCUGGAGUUAAUUUUAGUGUAAGGUGACAGGUAGGGGUCCAGUUUCUGCUUUCUGCACAUUGCUAGCCAGUUUUCCUAACAGUAUUUAUUAAACAUGGAGUCCUUUCCCCAUUACUUUUCUUUGUCAGGUUUGUCAAAGAUCAGAUGGUUGUAGAUGUGUGAUGUUACUUCUGGGGCCUCUGUUCUGUUCCAUUGGUCUAUAUCUCUGUUUUGGUACCAGUACCAUGCUGUUUUGAUUACUGUAGCCUUGUAAUAUAGUUUGAAGUCCAGCAGUGUGAUGCCUCCGGCUUUGUUCUUUUUUGCUUAGGAUUGUCUUGGCUAUGUGGGGUCUUUUAUGAUUCCAUAUGAAGUUUAAAGUGGUUUUUUCCAGUUCUGUGAAGAAGGUCAUUGGUAGCUUGAUGGGGAUAGUGUUGAAUCUAUAGAUUACUUUGGGCAGCAUGGCCAUUUUCACAAUAUUGAUUCUUCCUAACCAUGAGCAUGGAAUAUUUCAACAUCUGUUUGUGUCCUCUCUUAUUUUGUUGAGCAGUGGUUUGUAGUUCUCCUUGAAGAGGUUCUUUACAUCUUUUGUUAGUUGUAUUCCUAGGGAUUUUAUUCUUUUUGUAGCAAUUGCGAAUGGAAGUUUGCUCUUAAUUUGGCUCUCUGUUUGUCUGUUAUUGGUAUAUAGGAAUGCUUGUGAUUUCUGCACAUUGAUUUUGUAUCCUGAGACGUUGCUGAAGUUGCUUAUCAGUUUGAGAAGAUUUUGGGCUGAGAUGAUGGGGUCUUCUAGAUAUACAAUCAUGUCAUCUGCAAAUAGAGACAGUUUGACUUCCUCCUUUUCUGAUUGAAUACCCUUUAUUUCUUUUUCUUGCCUGAUUGCUGUAGCUAGAACUUUCAAUACUAUGUUGAAUAGGAGUGGUGAGAGAGGGCAUCUUUGUCUAGUGCCUGAUUUGAAAGGGAAUUCUUCCAUCUUUUGCCCAUUCAGUAUGAUAUUGGCUGUAGGCUUGUCAUAUAUAGCUUUUAUCAUUUUAUGAUAUGUUCCAUCAAUACCUAGUUUAUUGAGAGUUUUUAGCAUGAAUGGCUGUUGAAUUUUAUCAAAGGCCUUCUCUGCAUCCAUUGAAAUAAUUAUGUGGUUUUUGUCUUUGGUUCUGUUUAUGUGAUGGAUUACUUUUAUGGAUUUGCAUAUGUUGAACCAGCCUUGCAUCCCCAGGAUGAAGCCUACUUGGUCAUGAUGGAUAAGCUUCUUGAUGUGCUGUUGCAAUCUGUUUGCCAGUAUUUUAUUGAAGAUUUUUGCAUCAAUGUUCAUCAUGGAUAUUGGCCUGAAGCUUUCUUUUUUAGUUGAAUCUCUGCCUAGUUUUGGUAUCAGGAUGAUGUUGGUCUCAUAAAAUGAGUUAGGGAGGAUUCCCUCCUUUUGUAUUGCUUCGUACAGUUUCAGAAGGAAUGGAACCAGCUCCUCUUUGUACUUCUGGUAGAAUUCGUCUGUGAACCCGUUAUCUAUGCCCUCACUUCCCUCCUUCCUGUUUUUAAAUUAAUAGUUGAAUAUCUUCUUUACUAAUGACAGAAAAAUAUCUUUUCCUAACAUUUCCUCUUUUUUCAUCUCAGAAGUGCAUUGCUGGAAUCAUCUUACUUUUGGUACGUAUUUUCAAGAUACUAGGAUUUUCUUAUUUUGUUUCUUUAUCCUGUAUUUCUACUUUAAUAUUUAAUCAACAACUCAUAUCCUUCUUCCUAGUUAAAUUUUUCUGCUAAGUACCUGUCUCUAUCAGUAGUGAUACAUAAUUUCAGUGAUUACCUGAAUACAGGUGGAGAGAUUUUAAUAGGUAGGUAGGGUUUUGUUUGACAUUUCCAACUCGAUACGGGCAUUGUUUCUGCUGCUGAAGUUAUCUUUGUUUCUGAAGACUUUUGAAGUAUACUAACAGAGGUUAGUUAGAAUUGGGAAACUAUUAGGAUCAACUAUAUUGCCUUCUGCCUUCACACAGAAGGGUAGCAUAUAAGUGUACACUUGCUGGUUACCCUGGUAGAAAUAACCAACUCUAGCAGCUGUUUGGAUGUUAACCACAAUUGCUAAGUACCAAAGCAGUACACUUAGAGUGUUAGGUAAAGCAAGAGUAAUAAGCAAUGCUGAAUUAAACAAGUGUAGUAAGCCCCCAACAUAGCUCACUUACAUUUUUAAAAAUUUAUUUGAAGCCAGGCAUGGUGGUGUGCGCCUGUAAUCCCAGCUACUCUGGAGGCUGAGGCAGGAGAAUUUAUUGAACCUGGUAUGCAGAGGUUGCAGUGAGCUGAGACCAUGCCAUUGUACUCCCGCCUGGGCAACAGAGCGAGACUCUGUCUAAAAAAAAAAAUUUCCUUUGUUGUUGUUUUAGAGACAAAAUCUUGCUUUGUCACCCACUUGCUGGAGUUUAGUGGCAGGAUCAUGAAUCCAUUCACCCUCAAAUGCCUGGGUCAAGAAGUCCUCCCACCUCAGCCUUCUGAGUAACUGAGACAACAGGUGUGCACCACCACACCUGAUUAUUUUUUUUUUAUUUUUGGGGGAAAUGAGGUCUUGUUCAUUGUUCAGGCUGAUCUUAAACUCCUGGCUUCAAGCAGUCCUCCCACCUCACCCUCUUAAAGUGAUGGGAUUACAGGUGUGAGCUACUAUACCCAGCCUAAAAAAUUUUUAUAAUAGUAAAAUAUGUAACAUUUCAUUCCUCUUUUUUUUUUUUAUUUUCACUGUAAGUCUUUCUACUUCUGUAAUAUAAACUCUAUUUAAGAAAUAUUCAUGCCAGGUGUGGUGGCUCACACCUGUAAUCUAGCACUUUGGGAGGCCGAGGUGGGCGGAUCACAAGGUCAGGAGUUCGAGACCAGCCUGGUCAAUAUGGUGAAACCCUAUUUCUACUAAAAAUAUAAAAAUUCACCAGGCAUGGUGGCUCAUGCCUGUAAUCCCAGCUACUCGGGAGGGUGAGGCAGGAUAAUUACUUGAACCCAGGAGGUGGAGGUUGCAGUGAGCCGAGACCGUGCCACUGUACUCCAGCCUGGGCGACAGGGUGAGACUCUCAAAAAAAAAAAGAAAAGAAAUAUUCAUCAUCAUUUAUCAUUAUUCAAUCUUCUCCCAUAUCAACUCAAAUCUACAUUGCAUAAUAAAAUCAGUUUAUUGUCUCUUAUUAUCUUUGUCACGUUGUCUUCACAUCUUGUAUGUAAGACAAGAUCAGGUUUUCUUGAAUUGGUAUAGGUAGUGCCUCUUACACCAUUAAAUACAGUGUCAGAGUUCAAAGAUGUUGUCAUCCUAGAAAGGCUGUAUUACUAGUGCCUAUAGUAACUUUCCAUCUCUCAGAACAUUCUCUGAGAUCUCAUACACAAUAUUGAGAUCAGAUCUCACUAUAUGUGAAGACAGAUUUUAGAGAUGCUUUAGAAAUACAGCAGAUGUCUGGCAAGAGUCAGUGGAUUAUUCUGUUAACAAGAUUACCAUCCAGUACUACAGAUUUCAGUACUGCUUAAAUACAGAGGAGUAAAAAUCAGAGAAAAUCUAUUGUGAAAUGCACUUCUUUAUAUUAUCUCAAUAUUCUUUUUUAAAAAAAACCUUUGGUAACAUAAUAAGAAAUAAGAAUAGGUUUCUGUCUUCAAGAAAUACUUAGCUUUUAGAGAUGCUUUAGAAAUACAAUAGAUGUCUGAUUUGGUUUAUCUGGCAAGAGUCAGUGGAUUAUUCCCUUAGCAUGAUUAUCAUCCAGUACUACAGAUUUCAGUGCUGCUUAAACACAGAGUAGUAAAAAUCAGAGAAAAUCUAUAGUGAAAACCACUUCUCUGUAUUAUCUCAAUAUUCUUUUUUUUUUUUUUAAACCUUUGGUAGCAUAAGAAAUGAGAAUAGAUUUCUGUUUUCAAGAAAUAUUUAGUUUUUAACUUAACAUAAAAAUCCCUAUAUUGGCUUGUAAUUAUGUUUUAUUUAAUAUAAAAGUGCCCAUAUUGGCUCAUUGGCCCGUAUUGGCUCUGAAGUCACUUAAAGUUUACUCUCCUAGCAAGCUUGUCUCCUUAGAAUCUUCAACCUAUUCAAGGGUGCAUUUAUUUCAAAGGUUUCUAAGAAUGCUGAUAAAUUCCACCACCUUUCUUAGUAACCUAUUUAAUGUUUUUUCUUCUUCCUCCUCACUUAUUUGUAAAUAUUUUGCUGUAUUUUAUACCCAAUUUUAAUUUUUACCUAAUUUUAAUUUUGUUUAAAUAGAAAAUACCAGUUAAUUAAUUUCUUUUCCAUGCCUAUAAUGAAAUUUUUGAAAUAAUUCUUGAAUUCUUCUUUUUUUUUUUUGAGAUGGAGUUUCGCUCUUGUUACCCAGGCUGGAGUGCAAUGGCACGAUCUUGGCUCACUGCAACCUCCGCCUCCUGGGUUCAGGCAAUUCUCCUGCCUCAGCCUCCUGAGUAGCUGGGAUUACAGGCACGCACCACCAUGCCCAGCUAAUUUUUUGUAUCUUUAGUAGAGACGAGGUUUCACCAUGUUGACCAGGAUGGUCUCGAUCUCUUGACCUCGUGACCCACCCGCCUCGGCCUACCAAAAUGCUGGAAUUACAGGUGUGAGCCACCGCACCCGGCCCGAAUUCUUCUUUUUAAUCUUUUUCUUUACUGCAACUUUUUGUAAUCAUUUAUUUAGCAACUAUUUAAAAACUACCAGCCAUUUGGUGAAACUAUUGUUUCACGUGGGGGAUGGAUAACAUGAUGAAUACAACAGAGCCUCUGCCCUCACAGGGCUCUCUGUGUAACAAAGAAGCAUGCUCACAGAAAUCAAAUAUAAUCACUGGUGGUGAGCAUGAUGAUAGCUCAGGGCCCAGGUAUAUUUAGAAAAGACUGGGGCUGUUUCAAAACCUGCUUUCUAUCAUUGACUCUUUUGAGUAUAUAUCUGCUGGGAAAAUCUUCACCCUUUGAGAGUCUUUUAAAUGAUAUUCUGAAGUGUUGUUUUCUGUAUAUCCAAUCACUUACUGUACUAGAUUCUGUAGAAAAUACAUUCUAUUCAUUUCUAUAUCAUGUUUAUAUUUACUUAUAAUUAAUAUUUUUAGGUAUUAAAUAAUUGCUGUUGGGUUUUCACAUGUACAUUUGCAUUUUGCAUCUCACACUUCUGUAAAUAUUACUUUCCUUUUUCUUACAAGCAGAUUUCCACAUGGCCGACAGAAAUGUUUGCAUAUACCCCACAGGAAUGAAUGUCACAUGUCUAUGUCUGUGCAGUUCAGGGCAAAUCUAUAGAGCCAGGACUUCCCCUUCUGUUGUCUACAUUUCUGAGGCUUAGCAUCUCAUAGAAUCCUUUAGAAAACCCAUCAUAUUAAAAACAGGAGGAUCUCUUGGAAGAAUAAUUUCACAUCGAUUGUUUUGCCUCAGUGACUUAAGGACUUCUUAAAAGAAUGAUAUUUCUACAUAUAGUUAUAUAUUACAUCUGCUGAUAGCAAGGAUGUAGCCAAUCAAAUGGCUAGAAGGGUUGAGAGUGCAUAGGUGUGGCUAGCCUCUAAAUCUUAAAAGUUUGCUCCAACUAGGAAAAUAUUUUGCUUUUAGAUCAUAUAAUUUGUAUAAUUUUACUUUCUAAAUGAAACAUCUCUCCAAAAAUGUGAAAAUUCCACUGACCCCACAUCCUGGGAUGUACAUAUUUAAGAUCCCUCAUGCCAGGUGGCCAGAGAAACAAUGCAGCUGCCAACCUUUUCAUUCUUUUAAUUUCUCUCGGUAUAUUACAAAUAGCCUACAUUGGACCUGCUUUUUUUUUUUUUUUAAGUUUUUGAGAUGGGGGUCUUACUCUGUCAUCCAGGGUAGAGUGCAAUGGUACAGUCAUAGCCCACUGUAGCCUCAAAUUCCUGGGCUCAAGUAAUCCUCCCACCUCAACCUCCUGAGUAGCUGGGACUAAAGGCAUACACCACCACACCGGGCUAAGUUUUAUUUUUUGUAGACAUAGGAUCUUGCUGUGUUGCCCAGGUUGGUCUCAAACUCCCUUCCUCAAGUGAUCCUCCCACCUUGGCUUCCCAGAGUCCUGAGAUUACAGGGGUGAGCCACCGUGCUCAGCUGGAUGUAUCUUCAUUGUACAUUUUUCCCCUCCAAAAUGUACUUUUUAAUAGAGAGAUAUCUAAGGUCUAAAGAGGAAAAUGGGAGAUUUGACAGAAGAAGGUGCACCUUCAAUCCUUCCCUUUAUUUGACUCCUUUUAUAUUUUCCAUCAAGGGUUCAACUGAAUAUCUGGGAAUCAAUAGCACACUGAGACUUCUGUGCCUCUGGCUGUUAGAUGGAAGAAAUGUUACGUGAAUUCAUUCCCUUCCAUCACUAGCUGGGAGGUGAUGGUCAGCCCCGGCAGGCAGAUUUCUAAGGCGACACUGAAGAGAGAAGGAAGUCUUUGCCUGCUGUCCAUCAGCAUGUCAGAGACCAGAGCCAGAACUUCUGAGAGGACCACAGUUCCAAAACAAAGUAGACCCAAGAUGUCAAGUCACACUGGUAUUUCAGCCCUAACUGUUCUCAGGGCAUUUUUCUAAUAGCGUGGUCACUUUAUCCUGGUUUGUCCACUGUAGGAAGGAGUAAAGAUGAUCAAAGAACCUCUUUACAGAGAAGAGUUAAUUGUCUUUUUUACUAGAAAUCAAAAAAGAAGGAAAGCAUUUGAUUUUAUGGUAUAUUCCAAAUAAAAGUUUGUCAGACUAACAAACAGAAAUGUCCCACACCUAGCAUUUAUAUUGUAUUUAUAUUUAUAUUGAGUUUCCAGAAGGCUUUCCUAUGAAUAACCUCCUUCAUCAGUUCUCAUAAUAGCACAAGUUAGUGUUGUUAUCACUGUUUGAAGUGAGGAAGAUAAAGAGCUCAGAAGUUUAGGAAUUGUCCAAGAGCCAGACAUGAACCCUAUUCUGCCUACUCCAACCUCCUCUCUUUCCUACCAGCCUAACAGCAUAGCCUCCUGACAAUCUGGGCAUAAGUUUAGUUCUUUAACAAACCGCCACAUUUAUUUUCAGAACCUAGUUAUUAUAUCAUAAAGAUUACAUCCUUAGGUUAAAGAAGUGUAAAACAAUAAAUUAUCUCUUUUGUGUUUCACUUCAAACGCCUUUUUUCUCAUUAGCUUCAGCUCCUGUGCAUAUCAGAAAACACCAUUAGAAGGUGUCCUUCACUGUAUAAUACAAUUUUUUUUUUCUCUUGAGAUGGAGUUUUGCUCUUGUCACCCAGGCUGGAGUGCGAUAAAAGGAUCUCAGCUCUCUGCAACCUCCAACUCCCAGGUUCAAGCAAUUCUCCUGCCAUAGCCUCCCUAGUAGCUAGGAUUACAGGUGCCCGCCCACCAUGCCCAGCUAAUUUUUCAUAACAAAAUUUUUAAAAGUGAAGAUACAGUAGAAGACUGCAUCAUUUAUGCUCACUUUUUUUUUUUUUUUUUGAGAUGGAGUUUUGCUCUUGUUGCCCAGGCUGGAGUGUGAUGGCGCAAUCUCGGUUCACUGCAACCUCCACCAUCUGGGUUCAUCCUCCAGAGUAGCUGGGAUUACAGGCAUGUGCCACUACACACACAUAGCUAAUUUUGUAUUUUUAGUACAGACUGGGGUUCUCUGUGUUGGUCAGACUGGUCUCGAACUCCCAACCUCAGGUGAUUUGCCCACUUCAGCCUCUCAAAAUGGGAUUACAGGUGUGAGUCACCAUGCCUAGCUAUGCUCACAUAUUUUUAAAUACCUGAUUAACAAUGUGCUAUUAUUAUUUUAAGCAAAUUUUUUUGGCAUAAUAUUUGACAGUAGAAAUUGUGAAAAUAUUUGGCAGCAGGAUAAAAACCCAUUGAAACCGUCUUGACAUAUAAUAUAGUGACUUUAAGAAUAGUGAUACGAAUCUUAAAAUCCUACAAUUUCUUAAGAUUUGAAUCUACAAAUAUAAUUCUAGUGUUUAAACAUUUUGAGACAGUAAUAUAGAGUGCUAUGGGUUUUAUUUGUGUGUGUAGGGGGGUUAGCUACAAUUUUUCUAUAUCUUGUGGCACUUAUAUACAUUUAAAAGUUUUAAAAAUUCUAACCUUCAGAGAUUGUGUUGGUACAUAUCUUUCCAGUCUGUGUAUAUGUGUAAAUUGAAAAAAAUACUUCAAUAUAAAAUGUAUUUGAUUAAAUCAGAAUUACUUAAAUAUGUGAAUAUCUCAAAUCAGAGAUAUUCAAAUAUCAUAAACAUCAAAAUUGAGGUUCUCUUAAUUUUAAUUUAUUAAUGUCAAAGGGCUUGUUUGAAUAGAACUUUAUUGGCUAUUAUUUUUUAUUUUGAAUUUUAAAUACCCAAGAAUAGGUAACCCAAAUAGAGGAUAGUCCCAUGUUUUCCAAAUGAGAAGAAACAAAAAAAUAUUCUAAGCCAAAUUCAGUUUAAAUUUUUUUAGAAUCUGGGCCAGGCUCGUUGGCUCAUGCCUGUAAUGUCAGCACUUUGGGAGGCUGAGGCAGGCAGAUCACCUGAGGUCGGGAGUUUGAGACCAGCCUAACCAACAUGGAGAAAGCCUGUCUCUACUAAAAAUGCAAAAUUAUCCAGGCAUGGUGAUGCAUGCCUGUAAUCCCAGCUACUUGGGAGGCUGAGGCAGGAGAAUUGCUUAAACCCAGGAGGCGAAGGUUGUGGUGAGCUGAUAUUGCACCAUUGCACUCCAGCCUGGGCAACAAGAGCGAAACUUCAUGGCAAAAAAAAAAAAAGAAUUGUGGACAAAAUGGUCAAGUAACUGUAAAUGUUUAAUUUACUGAAUAGCUACAUAGCUACACACAUUUGUAAAAUAACAUUAAAAUAUUUCCAAACAUUGGGAAAUAUUUUUACUUCUCAUAUUUUGAAAAACAAUUUUAUUCAGUAUCCUUUAACACAUCCUUGACAUCAAUGUUCUUAUUACUAUAAGACACUUUGUGGUCAUCUGUUUUCUAGAGCACAUUUUCACUGAGGGCUUUCAAAUUCAUUGCUGGUGCUGCCACAGGGCAUUCCAUCCCAAGCGGAGUCUUUACUGCAUAUAAGAGAAUGUUUGCUAUUUCAUUCAGGACAUUAAUAUGUAUAUUAUAUAUAUGUAUUUUAUAUAUACACGUAUAUGUGAAUAUUGUCAUGCUUCUCCUAGCUUCCUAAUAUAUUGCUUUUUUAAAGAGUUACUGACAUAAAACUCUUACAAGAUCAUACCCACAAUAAUGACAGACAUUUUUAUCUCUUGUUUUCAAGGGAUUCUCUUGUGUGACCCUUGAAGCAUGGAAAGUAGGAUUAAUACAUGUUAUUUCAGACUAAUAUGUUCUCUCUCUAUCACUCCAACAUAGUACUUAGUUCUUCAAAGUAAUAUAUGGAGAAACUGCCCCAUAAUAUAUGGGAUUUUGAUAGCACUUGAGUAUAAAGGGACUCUCUUUUUACUAAGGAGUAUAUGGGAGGAAGAAUUGAAAGUUUAAACCACAACUUAAAUGUUCACCUCUCCACCAUUUUUUCUAUACUAUCUUUUGAUUUUCACAUUUCUUUCAUUAAACUUUUUAUAUAAUUAAAAUAAACUUGAAACUCCAUCAAGCCACAGUGAAAAACUAAAAGUGAAGUCAAGAACAGAGCGACUCCUAGCACCGAGGCCAAGUGUGUGUGGAGUCCCUGUGGGGUGGCGCACCUCCAAGUGGGUCGUCUCUGGAGGCCAGUGCCCUGCUUGAGACAGUGGUCACCCUUCCUCCCCUUGGUCCGUCUGCGUCCUGCAAGCUCUAAUUACACCAUGGCCCUAAUACAGCUGUGGCCCUUGGGGAAUACAGAAACACAAUCGACUGAUUGUUUCAUGUGAAUAAAGUGAGUGUGUGCUAUAAGAGGAUUUGAUGGUUCUGGUGGGUUUCUGGUACUUUGGUAGAGGUUGGCACUUGUCUUUUCUUAGUAAAUUGUGGCCCCAUCUAAACAAGGUAGGGUGUCAUGUUUUCCUGCUGUCAGCAGCUUCUCCUCUUGAUUAAGCUUGUCUUUCACCAAGCUGGCAUUACUAAAGUACUUGAAAUCACAAAUAAAGAGGUAGUAUCUUUACUGCUUAAAAUUUAAGUGCACUGAUGUGGUAUUUGGGUCUCUCGGCUUUUUACAUAGUAAAAUCUUCAAUUUCCUCUCUUUUUCAGUUCUUCAGGCUUAGUGCUAGUUUCUUCAGUGCUGCCUCAGUAUUGUGGACAAUAAUAAAAUUACCAAGCAUGUCAGCUGGCAUUUCAUUUCUCAGUAUCUAAGCUUGUUGUGUGCCCUGUUUCCAGGGAAAAAGUGGCCCCAAUAUAGGCAUCCUUCUGGGAAAUUGUUGCUUAAAAUUCCAUUCCCUUAUUGCACAGUUUAGUUGUGGCAUUGCACUCUUCCAAAGGUGGGGCAGGAUGGUUGGCGAUGGAAUUAAGGAUGUGGAUGUGGAUCCAGCCCAAGUGAAAAUUUCCUUAAGGAAAAGUGGGAGGAGGUCAAAAGCAAAACACCCUCUAACAGGCAGCAAUGUUGCAAUGAAUAAUACUAAUCUUUAGGACUGGUAUAGGUAACUCUUCAUCUUCAAUGCAUUUUGCUAACAUUUAGUUUGUUUACUCUACCAACAGCCCUGUUGGGAGAUAAGUUUUUAUUAUAAUAGCUUUACGUUGCCUUUAAAGAACUGAGACAGAAUUUGAGGAGGCUAUUUACUGAGUGCCACCUAGGUUAUCCCCCACUGUCUAGGUGUCUCUAUCUUUCCUGUGAAACAAUUCACGCAGACCGAUGAAAGAGUGGGAAUUUCAGCGGUUCCCAGGAAGCUGUGUGAUACAAGAAUCUAUUGCCACUUGUUGCUCUCAAAAAGUACCAUCCCUUCUGCUCCUGUGGCUCUGUGGCUGCUUACAACAGCAAAGCGCAGAGACUGAAAACUUGUAAACAGCUGUCGGGGGCUGGGGGUGGGCAAAGUGUAACAGAAUAGGCUGCCAAAUUCCUGACUGCCAUAUGUGCUGUGUAAUACUUGUCAUCUCAAGUGAGUCAUUAAAAGGUUUCCCCUUAAUGGGGCUUUGAAGUGCUGGGACAGCUUGAGCGCAUCUAUAAAUUGCCACAAACAGCCCUCUGACUGAGUUAGCUAAUUGCUUGCUCUUUGACUUAUUAGGAUCAACUGAGUUAAAUAAUUUGUCACAUGUGUGGCUCGUAAUAAAUAAUGUGACCAGCCAGUUUGUGGUCUGUUUCAGUGAUAUAUUGUACCCCUUUUGGAUGUUGUCACAUGUAGCUAGCAAAUGUGGGCUAUUUUAUCCAUAGGACUAUCAUAUCCCUGAGUUCUGACAGAGCAAUUGGGGAAAAAAAUGUUAAAAGGAGUCUAGUUACAAACAAAUGUGUUCACUUCUUCAACCUUUCCAUAAAGCGUAAAUAUCAUUUUUCUUUGAUAUCACACAUCAUGCAAGCCAUAGGCAAAAGAAUAUAAAUUAUAAGUACUGAAUUAUUCUAGUUAAUAUGGACUGAAUUAUUACAGUUAAAAUAUUAUCUGUUCCCUUUGUGAAAACAAGCAGUCCCUGCUAGCCAGCCCAGUGGAUGUGCUCAGCCCAGCUCAGCCCAGCUCAGCUCAGCACUGCAUUCCAGCCAGUGUUUGUGCUGUGGGCUGUGCCAAGGGCAUUGUUGUCUACUGCCAGAAGACAGAGAGGGUGACAACUGGGAUAGAGAGGACCAUGGAUGAGAAGAGAUUAAUUUAAAAGAGAGAAUCUGAGAAGGUUUGGGCAUAUCUUCAUUGCUAAAAGUGCAAGCUGGAUGAAGUGCUCAUCCUUAGUUCUUCUGGAAGAGCUCAUGGAAUGGAUGUCCUAGUUUCUUACUCAGUGUACAUAGCUGUCACCACCAAGUGCACUUCUCUGUACAAACCUGCCAUACUGAUGAUGGGAUGUCAUCCAGCACUGAGGAGCAAGGAGAGGUGGAAAGAGGAAAAUUUAAAAAGUGGCCACUGAAUUAAAGCCUCAACUCAAAUGCCAGAGACAUCAGCCUGAAGAUGCCAGUCCUGUGUGGCCCUUAUCCUGGCAGGGUCUUCCUCUCUGCCCAGGAAAGCAGGCCCCAGGUACAACCUGUGAGAAGACAGCCACCACCUGCUUGGGGAGAAUGGACAGCAGACAGUUGUGGUCAGAACUGUCUCGCCUACCCUGCAGCAGAAGGACCCUCCAGGACAUGCCCCCUUCUAUCCAGGGUGUGUGGAAAUGUCCCAAGAAAUUAGUCUCCCUGCUUUUGUAACCAUAGCACAUCCAGAAGGAGGAGUUGGGAAUCCCCAGGGGCAAGACACCUCCUGUCCUUAGUGGGUCCUCCACAGAGUGUGAAGGGGAAUCACCCACUAAAUGUUCCUUUUCUGCAUGGUGGUCCCAAACACUGGGUUCUGUGCUGAUUUCUUUUUAUUUUUUGAUAUUAAAAGUUUCUUUCUGCCUAUAAGUAUUUCUGCUGCUUACUUUCUUCCCUUGCUGAGAAGCAGAAGUAAAAUAGUCUCAGGUUUUUCCUUGUUUCUAACCAUUGUCAGAAACGGCCUGAAUAUCUAAAGGCUGUGAGUCUCACACAGAUCAACAGUUCCAAAUACCUAAAUACCAGACAUUCACCAGGAGCAAGACCUUGACAACCCUUCAGCUCCUGCCACAAGUGAGUCUGAAAUAAUUGCUGUUGAAAGAAUGACCCCAUGCCACCCUCUUCUUUGUUGUCUAAACCCUCAGUCGGCCUUAAAUUAGAUUGCCGUAGAGAAACAUACCUGAGCCACAGAUGGAUCAGCUUCUCCUCUCAUUGUGCCCUUGCUGUGACUUACACCUUCGAUUUUUAUUUAGGAACUCUGUUUAAAAAAGAGGAACAAGGAAAGCAAAAAUCUGUGACUUUGAAAACCUUCCCACUUGUGUUAAUCAGUAUCCAUAUAUGAGAUCUUAGGUACCUAGCGCCAGAGAAAAGCAUUCCUGAAAGAACUAGUAUUUUUCUUUUUUUUUUUUUUGAGGUGGAAUUUCGCUCUUGUUUCCCAGGCUGGAGUGCAAUGGCACGAUCCCGGCUCACCACAACCUCCGCCUCCUGGGUUCAGGCAAUUCUCCUGCCUCAGCCUCCUGAGUAGCUGGGAUUACAGGCAUGCGCCACUGUGCCCAGCUAAUUUUUCUGUAUUUUUAGUAGAGAUGGGGUUUCACCAUGUUGACCAGGAUGGUCUUGAUCUCUUGACCUCGUGAUCCACCCGCCUCGGCCUCCCAAAGUGCUGGGAUUACAGGCGUGAGCCACCGCGCCCGGCCUGUAUUUUUCUUUUAUAUAAGCUUCAUGAACUGUCUCACCCAGCAGGGCCUUUUCUUGCUUCGGUUGCUUCAUCUUCUCAGAGAGUGAAAAGAUGGUGCUCAGAAGCUUGAACCACCUUACGCAAAGCCCUGGUGCAUUUACUUGUGGUCAUGGAUGGUUUCAGAUCCCUAUUUUAAUAUUUCUCUUGCACUUUAUUAUUUCAGUUGUAGGUGUUCCCAUUGUAAGAAUAUUAUCUUGGCUGGGCGUGGUGGCUCACGCCUAUAAUCCCAGCACUUUGGGAGGCCAAGGCAGGUGGAUCACAAGGUCAGGAGAUCGAGACCAUCCUGGUCAACAAGGUGAAACCCCAUCUCUACUAAAAAUACAAAAAUUAGCUGGGCAUGGUGGCGCGUGCCUGUAGUCCCAGCUACUUGGGAGGCUGAGGCAGGAGAAUUGCCUGAACCCAGGAGGUGGAGGUUGCAGUGAGCUGAGAUCAUGCCAUUGCAUUCCAGUCUGGGUAACAACAGCGAAACUCCAUCUCAAAAAAAAAAAAAGAAUAUUAUCUUAAAUUGUUUUUAGAAGGAGAGUGGAUAUAAAUUAUGAGUAAUUAAUUAAAAUGAAUAUUUUAAACUUACAAUAUUCAUAGUAUUUUUCUGAUUUCAAAUAAUAUAAAAAUACUGCUUUAUAAGAUUCUAAGUUAUAGAGCUACUUUAUCUGGAUAACGAGCCUCUGAAUUCACAACCAUACAUAAUGCAUUCUGCACAUUCUGGAGGUACUCAUUUAUUUGUAACCUUUGAAGCACAUUAUACUGGGAAGAGCCCUACACCUGAGUUCAGAGAUUUAGGAAUGAAUUCUAACAUUGCCACUUUGAUACCUUUGAGAUAAAAUUUUUCAUCUGUAAAAUUAUUAAAACUCAAUGCUAAAAAUUAUUAAAUAAUGUAGACAUGUCUAUCUCAGUGCUCUGCAAAAUGACUCUCAAUUUCCUUCCAUCCAUUUUUGCUCCCCGGAUGCGAGGCAAUUCUGUGAUGAGGGGUCUAGGAAACUGAGUGCAUUCAAUCCGGAACACUGCGGUCUUCCUUGGUUCAUCCAUGUAUGUAUUUACCCCAUAUUUACUGGUGAAUAAACGUAUUGGGUAAACAUAAUGGCAGAACAGCUGUUGAGAAGGAAAGUUAACAUUUAGGAGCCUCCCUUCCUAGACCAUCUUUUGGGGGAAGCACCCAUCCACAGACACAAGGGACACCUACAAAUAACACAUCCUGCCUUCUGUUACCAGUAUUCCUGAAUGUGUAUUUUCUUUAUCAUUUUACCUCUCAGAUAAUUUUAACUUCUGUUCUGAUUUGUUUUCUCAGAUUUUUCUUUUGAUUUACUGACUUAUUAAACAUCUUAGUCAUGCUUAUGAAUAAUUCACAAUUACCUAAUUAAUAGAGGGAAAUUUUCUCUUCUCUCCCUAUCCUCUAAGAUAUGUGUCCACUUAUUUCUAGAGAGCUCUGUGACAGGAGCUUCUCCUUCAAUGCUUAGGCAAUGUCCAGGGUUCCGGUUUUUGGCCAGGUAGGUGUCAGUAAGCUGGUGAAUGUUAGAAUGAAGAUGUUCUGGUAGUCUGUGUCCACCAUGUGGUAAAACCAAAUAAAUGAAUUCUAGAUUUGUACAAAUUGCUUCUGUCUAUAUUUGCCUGCACAUUCUAUUACAUCUGUCAGACUGACUUUAUCUUACCAAUCAAUACAUUUUUAAACAAGCGCCUAAUUGCUUGUAUUGCCAUGUACUAGUAUAAAUAAAAUACGUCUUGGUUAAUGUGUCACAAUGGAAAAAAAAACUCUUUUUAGAAAAUGUUUGAAGAGAUUUAUUUAAUUACUCUUAAAAUUACUCCUUAGUUGGCUCUAUUAGCAUGUCAUAUAAGAAAAUGCAAUAUGUGAACAUUUUAACUUUUAAUAUGGUCACAGUUUAAAACUUUUCUGAGUUCAAAGUAAUUUUUGCCUAUAUUAAAGAAUUCACCAGAAUUAAUAUUAUCAGAAUGGAAUACAAUAAGUCUUUGUAAAUUAUUGUAAGUGAAUUGGGAAAUGCAGCUGACUAUAUACGUGCAGUUUGUCAGGAGCAUUUUUUUUUACAUAAAAUGAAAUACAACACUGGCUAUUUUCACUUUUUAAAAAUUGCUGUUAAUUUAAAAGUUAACAAAACAAUCAGUUAUAAACUAAGGAAUAUAUUGUUGCUGUCAUCCAGUGAGCAUGGUGUGUGUUAGAUGAUUUUCCUUCCUGAGCAGGACAUGAGCAAGCAUACUGUCCAUGCUGUAUGUGUUGACCAUGGGGAUUCAGGGGUGCCCGGGGCACUGUGUGGCAUGUGUACUCCCACAGGUUCAGCAGCCUCUGCUCACCUCGCAGGCCCUCUUUCUUCUGUUUUCUGGGACGUUGAUGCUGUAGUGUGGCCCAGAGCUCUUAACCAAACACAAUUCUUGCAUUACCUUUUUGAAAUUUAAAAAUAAAACUUUUAUAUUGUAACUACUACAUGUAUAAAAGCUUAAAUACUUUCUUUUUCUUGGAAAAUAGCAAGUUUAGUUGUUGAACUUCAGGAAGCAAUUCAGAGUGGCCCACUGAACUGGCUGCUGGUCAGGAGUAAACUGAGACCUGCCCUUUAAUAAAUAGAAAACCAAAUGAUUAGCAGCAGAAUUAGCUCAUACUCACCACUAACUACCUGCUCUCUGUAUGGCACUCAGUAGCUCCAACCACUUAACAUUUUUAAGCCUUUUUCCCCCUCUGUAAUGUAAACUUUGUGAAGCUCAGGCCUUUUAAAAAUGUAUACCCUUUGCUAAGUAAGCUUGAUACAAUAAAAUCUUUGUUCUCUGCAGCAUUGCAGAUUCAUAUAUGUAUAUACACACAUGCACUGUCUAAUAUUUAUCUGGUCUGGAAUAAGCAUUAAUCUUUAAUUACUAUAUAAACAUUUUAAACAGGUGUGGAAUAACUGCACUCUCAAAAAUGCAGUGUUUAUCUCCUUGCUGCCUGAUGGCAUCAGCCCCACUGCCUGACAGCUUUCACCUCCCUGUGCUUGAGGUGGAAACGGAGAGGCAGUGGGUAAAGGGCAAAGAAAUGCCCCAAAUCCCACAUGAAUCAGAAAUUUCCAGUUAUAAAUUAUGCACCACCAUAACAUCCUUUACCACAGUUUGCCAGCCAGGAAUUGAGUUCGGGGUAGUGUUUUUCUGUGUUGGUAUGGUGUGGGGCUGGGGGCUGUAUAUAUAGCCAUGCGUUUUUUUUCUUCCUGUGGAUUGUACGCCCUCAGCCGUCUUUUCUUGGGGCUGUGCACGGAGCCUGUGGUGUGAGGAGAUAUAAAGCAGCAUUUUUCUAACUGCCUUUGGAAACAAUGAGGGCUCUGUUAACAGGAGCCCAAGCCUCUGCAGACUGCCUCGCUGCGCAGAAUGACUGGUGGAGCCCAGGUUCAAAGCCAUUGGCCUCCAAGUGCUUUAAUUCAGCAUUAUUUUUGCUUCUCUAACCUCUUUUUUCCUUUCACUCUUCUUUUUUUCUUUUUUAACCUAAGCAUUCUGAGGUCUCCUUGUUUGGUAGGGAACUGAGCGGCAACUUUUUGUAAUUAGAUUAUACAUAAUCAAAUGAAGGCUUGGAUAUUUUUAAAUGUUAUUUAAUCUGCUUCUCCUCUUCUUCCUUCAUGGAUUUUAUCACUCUAGCUUAAUUUGUUAUAAAAUUUCAGCUCAUUUUUGCCUGGUACCAGGUUUUCCAGUUUAAAAUAAAAUAGAAAAUAACAAGACAACAGAUAUUUUCAGCAGUCUUUGUUCUUCCUUGUAAUAAAAACAAACUCAAUUCUGUAUUAGACUUAACACUAAGUAGUUAUAAUAUUCCUAGUAGUAAUUUUUCUGCUAUUACAAAUCUGUUAGGUUAGAGAAAUGAAAGGGAAAUACAAAAUAAAAGGUUCUAUAAUUAAGGAGAAAAUAAAGAGGAAAAGUUCUUAAAAAAAAAAAAACCUUAAUUGAGGAAUAUUUCUUACAGAAAGAAGUUGUCAGUGGUUAAGUGCUGACUGGUGAAGUUAGGAUAUUUUGGUCAAUUUAAAAUGAUGAUCCCCGAGGAGAGAGAGAUGAAAGCAUGGAGUUGGGGAGCACGGACCAUGGCAUUUCUGUGCUCUGGCAAUAAAAAUGUAAACAUUCUUUCUUGUUCGGUGAAAAACUCUAUUUUCUGUACUAUGUUUUACAAAUGAGAUAUGAAAACAAGGCAAAGGAAACAAUGUUCAAAACUUUUUAACAUCUCACACUAUUGUAAACUCAAGAUAUCAUAUGAAAUUUGACUUCAUACUUGGGGUCUUUCUCUGUUUUUGGGAGUUUGCUGCUCAGCUUAGCUUCUGACAAGCCUACUUUCUGCUCAGAGGAGAGAUCAGCUUUCCAAUUUGUCAGGCGAUAGGCAGUGGGGUGGUGCACUGACAGAUCUGGUUCUGAUUUUUAAGUGGUGUUAAAAAGGUCAAGGUUCACAUUUUUCCCAUUUUAUCGUGAGUUCAUCACCAGCAAAUCUGCCUUUGCCACAUUUAGUCAGCACUGCUAAAUGAAUGAAGACCAGAAAUGGGGAUCAUGGGUUCGCUUUCCUCUCUGGUUAUGUACUAGCAUCUGCUACAGAAAAAGAAAAGUUCAUGUCAUCAUAGAGUGGCCCUGGCUUCGUAGUUUUGACUGGUAGUCUGAUUAUUUAAAUGUCUAGUUUACAUUUCUUAUUUAUAGUGAAAAUAAAUAGCUCCCUAAUUUUAAUGUUUGAAGAUAAGAAUGGAGCGCUAUUUUAUUAAUCCAUCAUUUUUCCUUUGUCAUGAUUCUUUAAGUUUACACUUCUGUUUUGUAAAAAUUUGUGAUAUUGAAGUUAUUUUUUUUCUAACACUAAAGUUAACGAUAGCUUCCCAAAUCUCUGCUUUGAAAAGAUGAAGUAUCAUUUUUUGUAGUAAUACUAGUAAAUAAGAAGAAAAGUUUAUAUAAAUCUUGAUAUUUAUAAUAUUUUAUCUCCUUGGAAUUGUUUGUUGAACUGAUGAUAAACUAGAAAGUGAAUUUAUUUUUGCAAAAGAUGACAAAACUUCUAUAAAUAAAACCCACCGCUUUUAGAGAAUUUAAUUGUAUCAGUUGAAAAUGGCCACACUUUUUUGCUAGUUUAUUGGCUAAUUUGUUUGAAAUUGAUUAAUGCUUUUUUUUAAAUGACACAUUCGAAAAUAUAUAUUAUCAAACUUUUUUUUUUUAAUGUCGAGAUAAACGUAAAAACUUUAAAGUUUGGUAAUUUGUGAUUUGCUAAAAUGCAGAGAUGUAAAGAAAUGUACAUGUGUGUGAGAUGUUUGGCUUUUAUUGGCUUUGUAAUAGUGAUAAAGAUAAAGUGAUUUAUAGAUUAUCAAACUACUAUCCUGUUUAGACACAUACAUUAAGAUGUUCCUGUGUGAUCUCAGACGACCUUGUAAACCUGCCUAAAUCUUUAAUUUAAAGAAGAAUUUCAUUUAAAAGAUGUAAAAGAAGCUUGUGGGAGGUGUCAGAAUUUUAAAAUUUCUACUAAUAUUUUAUUCACAAAAAGCUAACCAGGUACUUCUUGUAAACUGAGAGUUAUUGAAUAAAAUUACUAGGAGGCUUCUCACCUUCCCCAUUUAUAUUGGAACACACACACACACACACACACACACACACACUCAUGCACACACACACAAUAUUUUUCUGUGUUUAUAAGUGCUAUAUAAGGAAUUAAUAUGUGGAUGCAUUACAUACUACCUUGGAGUUUUAUAGCCAAAUGUUUGUGGGUGCUGUUUCCACUCCCACUCUUCUAAAACACAAAGAUGUACUUAAAUAAGGAAAAAUAUACCCUCUGAAGUGAAAUCCCAAAAACUUUUUUUUACUUGCUAGAAUUUGUGCUAUGGUGAGUUUUCCUAUACAUGUAGAUGAAACUAAUGAUUAUGGGUGAUUUUAACACCUCCUAAGAGCUAAUUGGUAGUCAUUUCAUUAAGACCCCCUUACAGCUACACAGGUAAUAAAAAUCAUUGAUGCAAUAGAUAACAGUCUUUUGAAUUUAAUGUUUAAAAUCAGAGUUACUAAAAAAAUUUCUUUCUUUUCUGCAGAAUGAAAAUGCAAACAUUUUACAUGUUAAAAAGUAGAAUAAUGUGGUUAGUUUAGCUUUAAACAGUUAUUACUCAUAAUGAAUUAUCUGUACCUUCAGUAUUUAACUUAUCUAAUUUUAGAGAUGUUUUCUCAAUGUUUUGUAUAAGUUGUUUUUACAGGUCUUAAUUUGGAAGAGAUAGUGUUGAUUGGAAGACUUACUCGUACAGUGUUAUUACAUGCAUAAAAACUAUAGCUCUCCCACCAAUAAAUUUUAUGUUAUCCCCAUUAUUUUAUUCUAAAGAAGAAUAUAGAUCACCAGUACAACAUAAUAAGAAGUAUGCAGUUUUAUACCCAGAGAACUAUAUGAAUCAAACGUUAGGUGUUUUCAAGGUAAUUUGACAGAAUUGUCAUUCCAGGAUAUUGCUGAAUGCAGCUGGGAAAGGCUCUUUGGCAGAGACUAAUCAGUGCAAGCUCUCGCAAGUUGUGGAAAUAUAGUAAUCACAGAAUCCUUUUAUGAACAGUUCUAACUAAUACAAAGAAUGUUUUCUUGAGACACAGUUGGUAUAUUCAGCAGAUUCUCUUUGAUAGCUUGAUACACUGCACUUAGGGUGAAUAAAGCAGUGGUGUGUGUUGCUAAUAGAUUUCAGUGAUGUCCCACCACCGAAUUCGAAGCUGUGCCAGCAGGAUCCUUUGUCUUUUCCUGUUACCUCUCGUUCAAGGUGUUAUUUAUGUUAAGGAAGAACCAUUAUUUUAGUUUAAAAUAUUAAACAAAAUAUUUUUAUUUCUAUUUAAACACUGAUGGAUCACCCACUGCCUCAAAAAUAAAUAAAUGAGCUUCGGCAUCAAACACCAUUAUUUUUAUUUGUCUGGUUUACGAUGACUGCAAAGUCCCAGUGUGGAAUUAUCUAUUCUUUCAUCAUCAUCAGCUCCCUGCUGUAGUUAUUGUCUGUAAAUACCAGUUAAGUACUCAAGGAUUUAAAGUAUAAUGAAACUUAGAUGGUUGGGAAAGUGGUUGAAGUGAAUGUCCUCCCUGAGGCUUUUUUAUUAUUUAAAAGUUUGGGUAACUCCAUUGUUCUCUUAUCCUAAAUAUAUUUGAUAAUACCUGCUAUCAGUUUGGAUUUUAAGAAACAUAAUUUUCAGUGCAACAGAUAAAAUGAAUUUUAUUUUAUGUAGACUUUGCUAUCUACACACUUUUUCAGAGGUGAAGUUAGAAAAGGCAAAAUGUGUUUAUAAAACCCUAGCCCCACCUGUGACUGGGGACUAAAGUGCAUUUGUUCCAAUUCUCUUACGCAGGCUUCUCCACAAAAGAGGCCAUGACACCAGGUCAGGAGGCUGAUAGGAAGCCAGAUCACUCCAGCCAAUUAGCCCAUUUCCCUGUGACCUAUGGGAUAUCUCUUCCUUUUUCCUUUUUUUUCCUUUUUUUUUUUUUAGGAGAGAAAGCAGUGAUGACCUUUAGCCACUGACAUUUCUGCUUCAUGCCCUAAAAUUAGAGGAAUCUGAUCAGCCUGGUUAGUGCUAGCAAUCCAACUCUGUAGGCUGGAAUUCCUACUGGAACAGGCUCUCCUGAUUUACCCCAAAAAUGUAGUUUCCAAGAUGCCUACCCCACUGGCUAUGUGAUAAAAUGAAACCCCACACCAUCCCCACAUGCACCAUACUGGACUGGCCCCUCCUGGUUCUCUAGACCCUGUGAUUCUCAGUCCUGUUUGUUCAUUAUGUAGACCUUUCUUUUGUUUUGGUUAAAUAUGUUUCAUCAUCUCUUCCCAUUUUAUACACAUGUCUCCUCCCAGAAUGAACACUAACUCCAACACAGGACUGAACCCAGAACCUCAGAGAUGUCAGUUGGCUUCCCACUCCUCUACUCACUGAGGGUGCUUUCCCCUUGUGUGCAUGUCACCUUCUAGGUGAUUCAUAAAACUCUCCUCCAGUGAUCUGACUCAGAAGCAUACAUCUUACUUAGUAGUUUAACAGUGCACUAACUGGAAGGCAGAGAAAAGACAAGACAGAUUAUGUUUCGGUAACUCUGUUCUUGAAUGGAGAAGCAUGACAUUUCAUUGCCCUAACGGUGGGUGUGUGAGUGAGAGGGUGCUGCUGACUGGCGCUGUUAGUAAAGCAGGACCAGGGAAGGCACCAGCCCUUCUGGGCACACAUCACACACACAGACCUGCCCAGGUUCCUCUCUCCUUCCCAUCAGUGUGUGCCUGCCAUGUAACUCAGCAAGUUGGAGAACUUCUUAGCUUAUUUAAUCUUCUGAAAGUACCCUUGGAUUUUGCCUUCCCAUCAAAUUCCUACUACCCAAACCUUGGACCAGCCUUUCUCUUCUUCACCAUUGACAAUGUGAGAAGACUCUUCUCAUCCUUUUUUCUGGAGCACCAGACAUAUAUUGGUGAAAGAUAUCGGCCAUUUAGGCAGGUGUAUUGAGGUGUAACUAAUAUACAGUUAAAUUUACUGUUUUUAGUAUAUAAUUCUAGGAUUUAAAAACUGCAUAUAGGCCUGUAACUACCACGAUAAUCAAGAUAUAGAACAAUCCAUCAUGCACAAAAUUCCCCUGAGCAUCUUCAGAGUCAGCUUUCUCCUCUCUCUUCCCAACCCCUGCCUAAUCUCUGAUGUUUUCUUCCCUACUAUACUUCCUUUUCCAGGAUAUCAUAUAAAUGGAAUAAUCCUGUAGGUAACUUUUAGUGUCUAGCUUCUUUCACUUAGCAUGUGCGUUUGAGAUUCAUCCAUGUUGUGUAUAUCAGUAGUCCAUUUCUUUUUUAUUGCUGAGUAAUAAUCUGUUAUAUAGAUCAACUUAUUUUUUAACUUCAAAGCAAAAUGGUAUAAUUUCAUUAUGAUUUUUAUUACAUUAUCACAUUUAUAUGUAUUCUUAACAUUUUAAGUUACAUAUAAUUAAAGUCUGAGAUAUGAUAUUUAGUUUUUAAUUCUCAUAUUCCUUUUUUAAACAUUGUUAUAUAGGGUUUGGUUUUGUUUUUACUGUUAUUUUCAGUUUAUCUUAUUCACUAUAGUAUGAAGUCUAGAAGGCCAAUGGGAAACACAACUGUCUUCAGGAUAAUAUAUAGGUCAAUCUGUAUAAUAGUCUUCUACUCCAAUCAUAUUAAAGUAAGAUUUUCUAAUUUCUU